AUGGAAAUGAAUAACCCACGUAAGCAAUAUUACAGUUUUUCUCAAUUGCUUUGGCCCAUUCUUGAAUCAUCCAUAACAUUUUCAAAACAGUAAGUGCAUUUCUUGCAGUUCAAACAGCACCAAACUAUGGAUAACUAUGGAGACUCAACAUUAUUAUGUCUCAGAAGUAAAUAACUAUGUCAGUGAAUAUGCCAAUGCCACCAGAAUGCAAAGUCCUUGUGUUUUGUCAUGGUUUGGGACCAAGAUUAUUGUAUGCUUCCGACUAACUGCAGAUCAUUUUGUAUCAAGAUGAAUGCUAUUCAUGUCACUGACAACAGUUUCAACACCACAGGGUAUCAAGUGACUGCAAAAGAAUACAGUGGCAAGAUGCAGAAAUUCACUUGAGAGACUAAACUAGCAAGUCUCCCACGAGAGUGAAAAGAGGUGUUGAAGAAAUGUGAAUAUGUUUUAUCUUUCUCACACACAUUGGUGAUGGUGAUGUGAAGACGUUUUAGCGUCCACCUAGAUAAAGAAGGAGGGACAAGGGUGUGGGUUAACUGCCAAAGAGCUGACGACAGGAAAUGGAACCCUCUGCCUCUUAAAACAUUUCAUCUGGUAAAAUGGAGAGAGACUGAUGAACUACUGGAAAGGGCAGUUUAUGUGCAAAACAGCAGGGCGUAGUGCAUACACACACUCGUACUUCAGAGCAGAAGACAUCUAAAUAUAGUUCUAGACUUGAGCUGAUGAUGGCUUGUCUUCAAGUGGUGACAGUAUUUCUGGCUGUUUCCUGUUGCAUAUGUCAGGAUUCCAAUGCAUUCAGACUUCGGAACCCUAUACUCCGUGGCCCUGCAACUGCUCUCAGGAAAAGCAUUGUGGAUUUCCACUGUAUGGUGGAAAGAGACAGAGAUGACGACAGAAACCUGUUCUAUGAACUCUACAAAGUGAAUGACACUCAGUCAAAAGGCAUGUUCAGCACUCUUGAUAAUGAUCAGCCUGAGGCAAAAUUCCCAGUCUGGAUCAAACCUACUCAUGAAGGUUAUUACUACUGUAAGGCCAGUGUGCAGAACCGCUCAGAGGUAAUGCCUACGUACAGUAGCCACCACUACCUAGCUGUGAUAGAGCCGGUGGAGGGGGCUCACGUUCGCUCCGACCCGUCUCCUCAUGAGCUUUUUGAGGGGACAACACUGAGACUCUCAUGCAGCAUAACCAAAGGAAGCCAUGUUUCAUACACAUGGUUUUUCAAUGGAAGACCAGUGGUAGACGGAAUAGCACAAAACACCAUGAGCGUUCACAAUACCACUAUCACUGACAGUGGAGACUAUGUCUGCUUCGCAUCCAAUGCUGUGGAAAACACUUCAAUUUACACAUCCAACAGCAGCACAAGCAUCACCAUCAAAGAGAUUCCCCGAGAGGUGAAGGUCUCGUUCACUGUAGUGAAAGAAAGAGACGGACACUACUGGGCUCAGGUCGUAUGUAGAUCUGUCGGAGGAACACCACCCAUAACCUUUGCACUGUUUAACAAUUCCGAAGGAAUAGAUGAACAAAACACUGAGCACCUCAACGCAACAUUCCUAGUUCCCAUAGAUUUAGAUCAACACAUGGGCGAAUUGAUGUGUCAAGCCUCGAAUGGGAAAACACCUCAACACAGCUCUCCCAUGCGUCUAGAAGCAGUAAGAGUGGGCGGGGCCUUAGUGAUGACUUAUGAACGCAUCAUGGAUGACAACUUCCAGGUCAUCAGGCUGCAGUUCCACUGCCAGGUGGAGAGGGGCACACUUCCCCUCUAUAGAUGGUUCCUCAACAACGUCCCACUGACCAUGAGAGGACCUUCACAUUGGGUCUGGUCCCAAGAUAAUUCAACCCUCUUGGUUGACCUCAACCCAAGUAUGUCUGGAGAAAUCCACUGUGAGGCUUUUAACAGCUUUGACAAAGAUAUCAGCGUGUCCAGUCAGAGGACACUCAUCAGUAAGGAAGCAUCCAACCGACUGCCAGUGAUGGUGGUGGCUGUGGUGUUUGGAUGUUUCUUCUUCUUAGUAACGGUCCUGACGGGUUGCUGUUUUUAUGGAAUAUACAAGUGGAAGCAUAAUCCUGACAAACAAAAUGGGAGAUCAACAGAGAUGGAUGAUAUGAAAGCAACGUGCAUUUCUGAAGGCAACAAGGACUGCGGGGAAAAUACAUCUGUGGCCAAAGAAGUGGGGGCUGAUGAUCUGGAAGGGGAGUAUGUGGAUGAAUGGCCUGAAAUAGAGGAGCCUUGGAACUGAUCGGUAUAGAAGAGGCAGCAGAGAACUCCUCAUUAAUAUGCCCAAAAUCAUCGAACGCACUCUUGGAUCCAAAUGAAUUAAUUUUGUGUCAAAAAUGUGAUCAGUCUUCGUCAAUCUCAUGCCAAUAAAACUUGGAAAUUUGCAACCUUCA
ensembl:lncRNA